GGUAUCCAAAGAGUCAACUUUUCGCGAAGUAGUCGCGACUGUUGUCAUAGUCAACAAGGUGAAGGUAGGUCUAGAAGUUGGCAUUCCAUUCACGUUCUUAUCUGUAAAAGAAUAUAUGCAUGCAACAUUAAGGAUUAAUUGGUUUUCAUGGUAUUUCUGGAGUCCUUAAAAAGGAGUCAAAUUAAAUGGGAUGUGUGGAUGUUGCCUCUUAUGAAUGGGAAAAUUACUUCAUUGUAACAAUAACAAUAACCCAGUGAAAUCCCACGGGAAGGAUAGUGUGUACGUAGACCUUACCCCUGCUCCAAAGGAGUGCAGAUGCUGUUUUUGAUAGACCAUCAGCUCAAAAAAAUGGAAAGAAUGUAACAAUGUCCGCAUAUUUAAGUUUCAAAGAUAUUAGUGGCUUAGACGUAUGUGCUUUGCUCUUGACACUUGAAAGGAUUCAGCUAUAAGAUGAUAACUCUGCCUUUUGUUUUGUCUUUUGACCUCUAAAUUAAGCCUCCUACCCUAUAAUCUUAUGUGAGCAAAUUAUAUCAGUGGCUGAUAGCUGCCUCCUUUGUCUUCCAUUUCCAUGCCAAAUAAGCUUCAAGAAUAGUCUCAGGGAUUUAUGACCAAAAUGGUCCCUUAAGUCUUCUUAAUUUUAUUAUCUGAAAGGAAGAUUAAUAUUGUUAGGUACCUGUGGCACUGAUAUUUGGGUUUCCUCAAGUUCAUUUUGCUAUUUUUCUUUUCAUUGAUGAUAUAUGUAAAAAUUGGUCCAACAGGAAGGACAUUAAUAUAACUGGUUAGACGUGUCUUUCUCCAGUUAUUGUUUUAUUACAAUUGUAGUAACAAUAUAUCUCAUAUGUUAUUUAUGGUAGUUCUUGUUUGAUAUUAUUACAUGUCGUUUUAUUUAUGGUCCUUAUGUUUAAAUAACUAUUUACACGAUUUCUGCUGGAGUUACUAAUGCUCUUCUGUUUUUGUUUUUGUUUUUGUUUUUUUUUCCCUUACUUUCUUUAGCCGAGAGCCGAUUGGAAACAACCUCUCUGCCCUUUCGGGUAGGGGUAAGGCAUGUCUACAUAUUACCCUCCUCAUACGCCACAUUGUGGGACCAUACUGGAUAGUUGUUAUUGUUGUUGUAGUAAUAACAAUAUAUCUCAAUUCCAAACUAAUUGGGCUUAAGCUAUGUGGAUAAUUAUGUUCAUUUUGUUCAAUUCGGAUACAUCUCAUUCCAAAACUGGUAAUAAUUGUGUUUUUAGGACAAAUUAAGGAUUUUUAAAAGCUGGAGAUUCUCUAAAUAAUUAUCCCUACCCAAACCUACUGUAUUUGCAAUAACAACUACAUUUUAAUAUCAACUACUAGCUUGUAUAGCCUAUAUGGAUCCUUUACUAUUCCACUAUGUUCAAUUCAUAGCUAAUCUGCAUCGGAUAUCCUCAAGAUCGUAGAAUUUUCUACCUCCCCCUUUUAUGUGAUUUUAGAUUUGCUCGUCCUCAUUUAACGCAUUCAAUCACCAUAGUUACCCCUAAAUAUUGGUGCACUUAUAGGUUUGCAUAUGAUAUGGACUCCCAAAGGAAUAAUAAGCUAAUAUAAGCCUAAAGGUUUUUAUAAGCUAGUUUAACAAGCUUAUAAGCUUUGCCAAACAUCCUUUUACAAGACGGCCUUCAAAUCAUCUGCUCAAACACUCCGUCUAGUUAGUCCAAAUUCAGUAGUAUUAAUCAGGUCCUUUAUAUUGUCUUACUGCUGUUGAUCUUGAAACUUAUCAAUAUGCUUCCUGCAAUUUUAUCUGAAAAACUUCUGUAGUAAUUAACUAAGCUGUGAAGUAAAACUCAAAAAGGCACUUGAGUAGUACUAGAAUAAGUUGUGGAGUCACACAGUCACACAAUGCAAACUUUCCCGUCUGAGUAGUCUAUCAAUCCAUACCACUGGCAUUUUGGAAACGAUUCAGGCACUAAUUACUGAAGCUUUUUAUAUAGUAUCUAUGAAAACCCAAUACAAGCAAAAUAUUGAAUAUUAACCUUUUCAUGAUAUUGUUGCUAUUCCAUCAACUAGAUAAAUACAUCAGAGUUAUGUUUUCUAGUUGAACAUUUACGCAUGUGUUAUGAGUUGGCAGUAAGGAACACUUAUUAUGAGCAUGAGAAAUUUAAUAAAAUUUGUCUUUAAUAAUAAGUUUGACAGAAGGAAUGGCACUAAUUAGACUUAUUUAUUACCAAAUAAUAGAAUUCCAACAAUAACCAGAUGCUAGAAAUUUCAAUUACCAAACACGAGGAAGAAAAAAAAGUAAUUAAGAUAAAAGAAUUAGGCGUCAUUUCCAAACUUGAACAAUUCAAACAUUUAUGGCUUUGAAAGGAUCAUAAGAGACUACGUACAUGCAACGUCGUUGCCGGGUCACCCAUGAAAGAUUAAUUGUGUGAAGACUAAAGAAGAGGCUGGAGAAGACAAAAGAAAAGAUUAAAUAGAAUUGGAAAAGAGAUGAGCAUUAUGAAGCAAGAUUUGAGGGAAGGUUUCUUAAUAUUUUCCUUUGAUUUAUGAGCCUGAUUGUAAGAUAUGCACACAAUCUUUUGUUGUUAUAGGUAAAAAACUGUUAUAGAAAGAUAAAGUAUAACUUCAAAAAUCGGUUCGUAGAAAACUUGACUUUUAAUGAAUGAUUAUUAUAUAGAGAUGUUAUUAUAGAGAUAUUUGAUUGUAGAACGUCAAAAUAAUAAGACGUAAAAUUGGCUAGUGAGACGACGAAGGAUAAGCUUCCUUGUCGAGAGGAAAAGAGCUCGGGUUACCAAAUAAGGCCCUUAUAUGUUUGUCACAAAAUAAGUCAUUUCUGUUGAAAUAUUUUUUAUUUAUAUUUGUAACCAUAGUUAAGUGAGUUAGUCAUUGUAACCAUAGUUAAGUGAGUUAGUUAAUUAGCUCAGUUAGUUAGCUUUUGUUAGUAAGUCGUAUAUACAUAUGUUCUGUACAGUUACUCUUUUUCUAAACUAAUCAGAAGAUCAACUUCUGCUCCCUCUUCUUCUCUUCUCUCCUAGAAAGAUGUUCACCAUUGGAGCUCAAACUUGAGCUCCGCCAUUGUUGUUCAUCUGUCAAGCUUUACAUGGUAUCAGAGCAAGGAGUCCUGCUCACUGUUCUCUUCUCAAUUCUCUUUGAGUUCUAAAGACGUAAUCACCGUCUUCAUUUUUCCCCAAAUUUUCAUAUCUGAUAUUCUCUCAACAUCGUCUCUCAUAGCAAUCCUUGAUCCAAGUAAUGGAGCUUAAGUUAAGCCAGACAGUUCUACUCCUGUCGCCGGCGUCGAUUUUGGAGUCAAUUUGAGUUGCCCUUUUUACAUGCAUCUGUCGGAUAAUCAAAGUGCAAUGUUGAUCACAACUCCGUUCAGCGGGAUUGGCUAUAGAUCCUGGAUGAGAAGUGUUCUUAGGUGUCGGUCAAAAAUUAGAUAGGGUCUAUCACCGAAGAGUAUAAGCGUCCAGAUCUAGAUUCCCCACAGCUCCAUCAAUGGGAGAGGUGCGAUGAUAUGGUAACCUCUUGGAUUCUCAAUUCUCUGUGCAAAGACAUUGCUCACAGUGUAGAAUAUGCUAGUAAUGCUUUCGAGUUAUGGAGAGAGUUAGAAGAUAGAUACGACCAGAUAAAUGGUACCAAAUUCAAAAGGAAAUUAACGAUUUGUCUCAAGGUGUGCUUGAUAUUACUAGAUAUUGCACGAAAAUGAAGAAACUUUUGGAGGAAUUAAACAUGAUAUGUGCCAAAUCACAGUGUACCUGCCAAUGUACAUGUGGAGCUAGGGAAAAUAUGCACAAAUCUGAGCAAGACAGAAGGCUCAUUCAGUUUCUUAUGGGAUUGAACGAAGUAUACACCACAAUCUGGGGCAGUAUACUUAUGAUGAAUCCUUUACUAUCCAUGGAACAGGCCUUUUCUCUACUCAUUCAGGAGGAAAAACAAAGGGAAGUGAAACCGUAAAGACAACUUAUGAUGGAUUCUGUGUCUCUGAAUGUCAAUGGUACUUCACAUAGCAGCAUGAACAUGGCACCUAUGCAUAACAAUAAUUUCAUAACAAACUACUCUCCAAAUAAUCAAUCAUCUACUAGUAGACCUCGUCCCUUUUGUGAUUUUUGCAAGCGUGCUAGUCAUACCAAAGACAAAUGUUUCAAGCUCCAGGGGUAUCCUCAAGAUUUCAACGAUAAUACUAAGCAUCAAAAGGUCAAAAAAACUGCAGCAAAUGUACAUGGGGCUCCAAUUGAUAAUUUCCUUGUGAGUGGUGAGGAAAUGCAGCCCCAGAGAAAUAAUUCUAGUGUCAAUCUUACCAAAGAGCAAUAUGGCCAAUUGGUGACUCUGCUCCAACACUUUCAAACUAGUUCUACCGUAGAUAACCUAGACAAUAAUUCUAUUGGUGGAAAUGCAAAUUUUGCAGGUAUUUUUGCUUGUUCUGUAUCUGUUCUCUUUGUUGAUUUUGGAUUAUUGUCAUGUAAAUGCUUUAAGUCAAGAGCUGGCAUUUGGAUUCUAGACUCAGUGGUUUCUAACCAUAUGACCUUCAACAAAUCCUUACUUACUCAUAUUAAGACUUUAGUGUAUCCUAUGUUGAUAACCUUACCAAAUGGCUAUAGAGUUAAAGUUACUGAAUUUGGAACAGUUACCCUUGCACCAAACAUUAUACUUCAUAGAGUUCUCUAUGUCCCUUCUUUCAAAUACAAUCUUAUUUCAAUAAAUUCUUUAGCCUCCCAGUUUAAAGGUUUAAUAGCUUUCUCUGACUUUCUAUGUCUACUGCAUGCCCCUUCAAUGAAGAGGCCUCUGGAGAUUGGUAAGGUCAAGGAUGGCUUGUAUCUCCUGUGUUCAAGUUGUCUAAAGAACACCUGCUCAAAGAACUCUUGCUCAAUUCACAUGUUCCUUUUCCCCUUCCAAAUUCUAUUUUGUCUAAGACUAUUGAUGUAAAUAGCUUGCACUGCCAACAUUCUAAUUCACAUGUAAAUACUUCCACCUGCAAUUCACACUCAGUUGUAAAUAGUUCCAUUGAUAAUAAAACUGAGUGUAUUUCAUCACAUUCCUCCUUGUAUGAUAUGCAUCAAAUUGACUUACUGUGCCCUUUUAGACUGGGACAUGUCCCUUUUUGUAAAAUAGAGAGUAUUCAUUAAGGGAGUGAACAUAUCCUUUGGAACAUAAAACCUUAGCUAACUUAGCAUACCACUGUUGACUGGCCUAUUUCAAUCCAUAUAGUGACUUGUUCAACUUACAAACUAAACCAGGUUUAUCAACCAAUAAGCCAGGGGGUAGAUCCAUAUACACUUCCUCAUGAUGUAACAAUCCGAUCAGUUGUUUUGAGACUUAGCAUAUCGUUCAGUAAUCUGAGGCCAUGAGCAGCUUCAUUUUAGGUAUGGUGACUUGUUCGCAUGGUCGGAAUUGGAAUUCAGAAAGAUCGGAAUCAAAUUUAAAUAAAAAUUCUCAUUUCAUAAGCUUAAAGUUGAAAGAAUGAACUAAGAUUGGAUCUUUAAGUAAACGACCUCAGAAUCGGGAUUUGAAGGUUCCAACAGGUUCGUAUAAUGAUAUCAUACUUGGGCAUAUGCCGGUUUAGGUUUUGAACAACCCGGGAGCAUUUUGGCGCUUAUUGUGGAAGUUAGCAUUUUGGAAGAAAUUUCAUAAGUUUGGCUUGAAGUGCAUUUUAGCGUUAUCGAUGUCCGUUUGGAAUUCCGGGUGUGAGAGUAGUUCCGUACGGUGAUUCUAGAGUUGGGAGCACAAUUAGAAGUGAAUUCAAAGGUACGUAGGUCAUUUUCAAGACGUUUGGGUAAAGCUAGAAAUUUGAAGGUUUUUGAGAAGUUUGACCGGAAGUGAACUUUUUGAUAACGGGGUCGAAAUCCGAUUUUGAAAGUUGGAGUAGGUCCGUAAUGUCAAAUUUUACUUGCGUGAAAAAUUUGAAGUCAAUCGGACGUGAUUUGAUAGGUUUAAGCAUCGAGAGUACAAGUUGGAAGUUCUAAAGUUCAUAAAGCUUGGAUUGGAGGUUGACUCAUAAUUUUAGCGUUGUUUGAUGUGAUUUGAGGCCUCGAGCAAGUCCGUAAUAUAUUUUGGGACUUGUUGGCAUGAUUGGUUGGGGUCCCGAGGGCCUAGGGUGGAUUCCGAGUGGUUAACUGAUCGAAAGUUGGAUUUUUGGAAAAAUAUAGGAGCUGGUAUCUGGUAUUUCCGUUUCUGCGGAAAGGCAAAAUAUGGACCGCUGAAGCUGUUUUGACCAAUAAUGAAGGGUACCGCAGAUGCGGUCAUACACCCGCAUAAGCGGAGCCGCACUGUCGUUGGCAAUUCACAGAAGCAGAAGAGGGUCUAGAGCCCAGGACCGCAGAAGCGGCAUUUUUUUCUGCAAAAGCGGAACCGCAUAGGUGGAAAUAAUUCCUAAGAAACGGAAAGAGCUAGGGCAGAGGGGUUGUUUUAGAAAUCGGAUUUUGGCUCUUUUCUAUCAUAUGUUCAUGACUUGGGCGAUUUUUGGGGAGCUUCAAGAGGGGAUUUUCAUCGUCAAUAAUUGAGGUAAGUUAUCCCCAUCCAUUUUGAGUUAAACAUAUCAAUUUUUGUGUGGAUUUGGGCAUGAAAAUUAGAAUAAAAAUUGAGGUUUUGGUGGAAAACUAAGAAAAUUAUACUCUUUGAUUUUAACCACGAUUUUGAGUAGGAAACUAAUAGAAAAUUAUAUAUUUGAGUCCCUAUGGUCAUGGGCAAUGAUUAUCUUCAAAAACUUUCGGAUUCCGGGCCCGAGGGUAUUUUCAUCAACUUUUCGUUCGGGGUUAAGAAUUGACACAAAUUUAGUUGUAGAGUUUAAUUAACUAUAUAUUAAUGGGUUUGAAUGACCGUUGGCUAGUUUUGGUGAAUUUUCACGUUGGUUCGAGCUUUCGGAAGGAUGUAGAGGGCCGGUUAUGGAUCUUCAGGAGAGGUAAGUCUCCUUUCUAAUCUUUUGAGGGGGAAUUACCCCAUUGGUGAGUUAAAUUGAUUAUGUGCACCUAUUUUUGGGGGCUACGCACGAGGUGAUGAGAGUCCGUGUGUAGCUACUAAUAUGCUAUUGUCCGGAUAGUCUAGGGCCCAAAAACAUGUCAUACCUGAAUAAAUUGUGAACCCAUUGAUGGCUUGAAUUGCCUAAAUCACAUUAAAUUAUAAAAUAAAUUUCAAAGGGGUUUAACUUUAUUUCAUAAAUUUGUUAAAGGAGAAUUGGCUUUAUUUGAAUAAAUAUUCCCCGAUGGACUCUUAUUUGACUUAUUGAGCAUGUAUUCUUAUGUGUACCAGUGUCGCAUGCAUGAUUUGCGAGUAUGGUAUGUGUUUAUUUUUAGAACAGGCCGAUCGUCUCGGUGAAAUGGAUGCAUCUAGGGUACGGGCUGCUCGACCCUCGGCAGUGCACACUUUACAUUUCUGUUAGAGCGGGCUGUCAACCUCGGCAUGAUUUGUGCAUAUUUGUUUUGUUGUCUUGACCUCAUUUGAGUUGUUUUAUGUCAUAUUAUGGCUCGAGAUCGUUUUAUUAAUAAUAACAUGAAAUCUCAAAAAAUUUCCAUGAAAGAAUUAUAUGACGACUUGUUUUCCCAUAUCUGGAUUAGAAUUAAGUUUAUAAAAUAAAUCUACUAUUUGAAUAUAUUUAUUAAAAUAGUCAUUUGACUGCUAGUGAGUGUCAGAGUUGACCAUCUCGUCUCUACCCCUUCGGGAUUAGGCGAGACACUUAUUGGGUACACGUUAUUUUUGUAAUCAUACUACACUUGUUGUGCUUCUUGUUGCACAGGUUUAUUGUGUGGCUCGUGGCUUAGCGGCAUCAUCGGCGCAGAGAAUAGGUGAGUUGUAUUCCUUCGAGGCGACUCCACAACAAUUGUAGUCUCUUUCAGAAUUUUAUUUACUUUCUGUCUAAUUGUAUUCCGGACACUUGUUGUACCUAUUUGGUGUUUUUUAGAAAAUUGCUCAUGUACUUGUGACACCGGGUUCUGGGAUGGUUUGAGGUGUCGUAUUAUUUCUUAACUUUUAAAUUUGAGUUGAAACUUAAUUCUUUAAAAUUUUCUAAAUAAUGAAAGAAAAAUCAUGUAUUUUCAAAAGUGAUAAAAUGAGAUUUAGGUUAGCAUUUGAGUUGGCUGGCCUGACAGCGGUGUCCGGCGCCACCACGACCCUUAGUGGAUUUUGGAUNNNNNNNNNNNNNNNNNNNNNNNNNNNNNNNNNNNNNNNNNNNNNNNNNNNNNNNNNNNNNNNNNNNNNNNNNNNNNNNNNNNNNNNNNNGCCACCACGACCCUUAGUGGAUUUUGGAUCGUGACAACAUGGUAUCAGAGCACUAGGUUCCUGUCGGUCUCACGAGUCAUGAGAAAGUCUAGUAGAGUCAAGCGGAUUGGUACACAGACAUCUGUACUUAUCCUAGGGAGGGUACAAGGCUGUUAGGAGUACUUCCCUUCUUGAUUUCCUUAUUGUGCGGUUCGAUUUCUUUGAGGCUUAUGCCUUUGAUCCCUUCUUACUCAGUCUUACGUGACGUGAGCGCUUGCUAGAAAUAGAAAAUUUGAAGAAUUUCAAUUGUACUAUAGAUGUGGUGCAGGAUGUUUCUCCCGGUAUAGUUUAUUGGACUGUUAUAGUCGCUUUAUAGAAGGAUAUCGUAUUAUUUCCGCUCAGUAGCAGUACUCUGAGGGCCUUGAGGCUAGGCACAGGUUGCCAUGAUGCAUAUAAGCUAUUAUUGCGCAGUGUGGUUGUGAUGGUAGGAUACUUUCCCACGUGUCGGGGAAGUGGAUAAUUGAACGGAAGAUUACUCAGCGUGUUUUUAAGGGAUUCAGUAUUUUGUUCCCGGCAAGGGGAAAGGCAGUCAGACUAAGGAUGGUCAGAUUUACUCUGGUGGAAGUAAUGAGACAGGUAUUUACAAGCGUGGUUGAGCUUUCUAUUAUGAUGGGGUGUUGUGGCCAUAAUGAAACGUACCAAGUUUGUCGAUAUUAUAAUCUGCUACAAUUCGCCUUAUGGCGGGAUAUUGUGAAAUAGUAUUGGAGAUACAGCUAUCAGAUAUCGCAUGGUCCGGUGGUUUAAGAUCGAGUCAUAAUUUCUAGUGUUGAUGGAUCGAUAAGGAUGGCCUUUGGAAAGGUUCUAAAGUUAGCAGCAAUGGUGGAUUCAAGUGUCGUGAAGAUAUAUUUUGUUUAAAGCAACAAUAGCGUGGCAGAGCAUGAGGAAAGACAUGUGGAAAGUGUCAGGCGGCGUUUAAGUUUCUAAAAAGCCAAGUAUGAGAAGCAAGGUCGAGUGACCGACUAAGGAAAUGAGUUCUGCCAAAGUGGGAGAGUGGCGAGUGUUGCAUACGGACUUGGUAGUAGGAAGACUACGCGCAUUCAAGGGAUUUUGGAUCGAAUUGGGGAUUUUAAGGAUUUGUGAUUGAAGCAUGCGGGCAUGAUGUGAAGUAUGGGCUAUUGGUUUCAUAGCAAAUGUACCCCGUGCGGUGGUGUAGGAAGAUGUCGGGAGGUGAUUUCCCUAGGAGGGUUAUUCCCCGUGAGAAGGUUAGCGGUCGUGUGGUUGGAGAAGCUUCUGCAAGGAAUUAUAUUGGUUGUUCAACAAAGAGAUCAUCAUGCAAAUGUAGAUGAUGAUUCAGAAUAUGAAAGAUGGGGAUUUACAGGAAGAUCCCGAGAAAUUUUGAUAAUUUAUGGCAUGAGGUUAUGCCCAUAAGAGGUAAAGAGGUCGGGCGAACGCAGGAUUUAUGAAAUGAUGGCUUCAAACUAAGUGGGAGAGUCUCACCGCUUAUGAUUGUGUUGUAUGAUUAGCUAUUUCGUAGUUUCUUGUUAUUAGCAUACUGAUUGGUUAUUUAAGCUAUGAGAAAAGACCAUAAGUGGUAAUUUGAGAAAAUGAAUGGUUGGAGGCAUGCUAUGGUUGGCCUUAUUGGCUUAUGUUCGGACAUGGAAAAAGGAUCAGGAUUUAUGCCUCGUAUAGAUGCAGGUUUCAGAGGAAGUGAUUUCACCGGGUGCUUCGCGAAGAGAGUGUUCGUGUGCUAUAAAAUCUAUGAAGUGGGUUAUAAUCAGGACCGAGUCAGUGCGGGUGGCUCUCAAUAAUGGUCCUUGUGAAUUCGGAAGUUAAAAUGUGGUGCCCAAUGAUUUUUUUAGCCUAUGAGUACGGUUAAGAAUCAAGCUUUGUAGUAGUUUAUGAGAAGGUUCCAAGAAUGUUCUAUGAUAUUUGGAUUUGCGGGUAGCAUUUGAGAGAUGUGAAAUGGUUCAUUGGAUUUGAGACAGCAUGGCUCGUGAUUCAAGGUCAUCGAGAUGAGUGUAGAUGUAGUAUGUUAUGUGUUGUAUGAAGAUGUAUUAUUUCUAAGGAAAUCAAGGCUUUAGUGGAAGGAAGUAGAUUGAUUGGCCAUGGUUAACUUGAUAUAUUGAUAGUGGUGAUCAUUUCAUCCAGCGUGAUCAAGUCAUGCCUGUGAUUUGUGGCGAUGCGUGUGAUGCUUGUCGGCCACAGUGAUUGAUGUUAUUCAGAAGCAUUCUUCUGUUAUGGAAUUUCAUGAGUAGGCGGAUCCUCGAAGGGUUAUGGUGGCUUGUACCACUACUUAGAGAAUGGCAUAUUCAGUGGAUAUGAAAAUUCGCAUGUAUGUUUCAAUAGCCUUCUAAGCUGAGUUAAAUGAAGAGUUUUAUAUGAUGAAGUGUUAGUCCAUCAAUGGUUUCAGAGUUGUGAUGGAAAUCGUGUCUAUCGUAUAUCGACACAUGGGGUGCAGUGAGUAAUAUGGAAUUUAAUGUGAGGAUCAAGGUUAUAGUUUGGUAAUGACUAUGAUGUCACAAGCUCGGAUGAUCAGGAAUGGAGUUUCUAUGUUUUGAGUAAUUUGGUAUUGUCUGCAGUGUCACCCGAGAUUGGUGUUUUGUGAGAGAGCCUUUGCAUCCUAGUUGAGGAUUCUUAAUCGCUUUUCAGCGGCAGUGUAUAUGGUGGGUUAGACGUGUAGACCCAUUAUGUAUUUCGGAGAUUGUGGGAGUGUGUCCCUCGGGAAGAUUGCAUAAGUGUGACAUGUAGUCACUUGAUUGAGUAAGAGAUUUAAAUCGAGUAUGAGGAUUUGGUAAUAUCAUUAAUUUGAGAAUGUAUGCCUGAAGGCCUUUCUGUUUAUUAGAUUAUGAACUGAGGAGGUUGCUCUAGUUGUGAUAGAAAUUCUUGUGUGUUAUGAUAGAGAAAAGAUAGCAUGGACCUUUGAAAGUUUGAUGGCCUAGUUUGGCAUGAUCAGGAUCGACUUGAGGUCGGUGGGUGGAUUUAAAUGUGAAAGUGACCCUUACGUCAGGCCAGUUGUGUUCAUGUUUGCAAUGCGCUCUUUAUGGAAGAGUAGUCGCGGUGUUAUUUCGUGGUCAGCUAUUUAAGAUAGCGAUAAAUUACGCCAUUUGAGUUAUGAGACGGCUUGUUAAAUUUCUCACGUGUUGAGGUCCCGCCCAGUGGUGGUGUUAUAUGAGCAGGAUGGCUCUAGAGAUUUAGAUCAUGUAUCGCACCUCAGUUGUGCUUGAGUUUUGUAGCCUAUAGCGCUAUAUGUGUCCUCAGGGAUGGUAUUUAUGAGGAUUUUGGUAAUAUCAUCGAUUUGAGAAUUUAGGCCUGGGGGCACUUUGUUUAUUGGGAUAUGAAUGAAGGAGGUUGCUCCGGUUGUAAUGGUUGUUCCUAUAUGUUAAGAGAAAGAAUGAGUUACUAUAAACCUUGAAAGGUUAUUAGCAAAGUUGGUGCAAUCAGAAAUCGGCUUGAGAUCAAUGGAUUGAUUUAAUUGUGGAUAGGGUUUUAUAUUCGACCAGUUGUUAUCGUUUCAGCAAUUGUUCCCUAUGGAGGAACAAUCAGGUGUUAUUUUGUCAUCAGCUAUUCUAGAUAAUGAUGUAUUGUGCCGCAUGGGUUGUAAAAUGGCUUGGUCAAUUUCUUAUGUGUUGAGGUUCCGAUUAGCGGUGAUGUUAUAUGAGCAGGAUGGCUCUUGAGAUUCAGAUCGUGUAUUGCACCUCAGUUGUGCUUGAGUUCUGUAGCCUAUAGAACUGAAUGGUUCCUCAGGGAUGGUAUUAUACACCUUAGUGUGUCUACGACCAAUAUUCGGUAUUUUGAUGUGAUGAGCUAUUUAGCUCAAUGUAUAUCUCCUUAUGUGAGCCCGUAUGUGGACCGGGUGGCACACUACCAUGGGUAUGUUAUUUGGAUCGGGUGGCACACCGCCAUAGAUAUGAUGUGUGGAUCGGGUGGCACAUGCCAUGGUUAUGCUAUUUGGAUUGGGUUGCACACCGUAAUAGUAUGAUGUUCAGUACAACUCCCCCUAGUUUCUUUUAUGUGUUUUGUUUCCCAUUUUUCUGAGGAAAUAUCGUAUAAGUUAGCCUGCGUUGCACAUACGAUUUGCGGGCGGGGUAAUUAGAUGUCUGUUUCAGAGUUCGUAUUCCUCCUGUAUCAUAUCCUAAUCGAUAGCCUAUUGGCACAUUGUGACAUCAUAUGGGACUCUUGAUUGUGUUCGAGGUGGCUUAUUGCCUGACCAGUUCGUACUGGGUGAGAUGAGAUUUAUGGAAUUUAGGAUCAGUGCAAUUUGAGUACAUGAAGUAUAUUAAAGGGCAGAGAUCCUUAUUUGGUUCAGAAUGUGGUAAUGGCUCUAUCAGAGGUAUAGACCCAAUGAUUUGUUGAUUUAGCAGUUAGUUAUGAAUUUCGGCACAUCUCUUCUGUCGUGUCAAGGUUGUAUAAAUUAGAACAAGACCUAUGUAGGUCAUGAGGUGCAAUUGGAGCAUCUGAUUCGUUGAAUUUUGCCAAAGUUGAUCAUAAAAACCCGCGCCUAAUAGAGUCUAGCAAGUUGUAAUCUUUUGGGUGGGUCGUGAAAUUCGUUAAACGACCCUUUUCCGAUUGUCUAAAUAUUUUUAAACCUUUACUGAGGGCCCCACGAUUUCGUAUUUUUAUUGGGCGAGGCUCGUCUUUUUUUAUUUUAAUGGAUAAGCCUAAAGCGACUAUAUUUUAUAUUUAUUUUUUUUGUCUCUAAAAGAAAAGAAAAAUUCCUGAUUGAUUAUUAUGAGAACUGGGGUUUCAAGUUCAAGUCCGGGUCCAAACAAAAGGACGAACCUUUUAGUUUAAAACCCGCUAUCUAACUCAAAACCCUAAUUUUAUUAUCAAAUAAACUUGAGUCGUAAACUUUGAACGUAGGCCCAAUUCGUUGUCCCAAACCCAUGACUCACUCCACCCAUGACUCACUCUGGCUGUUAGGCCUCAUGGCUCCCGUCUUGGGAUCGAUUCCCAGAUUGGACAACCCAGGGAUAUUUUUCUGGGAUUAAAAUGACUUCACACUUGGGCUCAGCGGCCCUUGAAGCCCUAGAGCCAAUGGGGUUUGUUUCUGUUUUUCUUUUUUUUUAAAUUGAAAACAAUUCUAAACUCAACACGUUUGAGGGCUUCAAAUUUCAAAGCCAACUGGACGACUAAUUCACCAAAUAAGAUUUCAAUUAAACAAAGUCUUUUUUUUUGUACAUUCAAAAUGUUAUUUUGUGAUAAAUUACUCUCAGAGACCCUUUGAUAAACUAUAUUAUGCAAGGGUAAUUAUUUUAUAAUAAAAGAAAUGGUGUUCAACCUAUUACCAAUCGUUGGACUCCAGCUUCACCUUUAGACCUUAUUAGGCUAACUAAAAUGAGUUAAACUUAAGGAUGCAAUACUUUCCUUUUGAAAACAAACACACCGAUUCUCUAAUUUUGAAAUCAACACUGAUACCAAACCUAAGUCCUGUGUUCAAAGCCUGAUUUAUAUUGAGUAAGAAUUCGAAUCAAAUUAAUCUAGAAAUAUGAACAAACAAAGUUAAAAGCUACUAAUUAUGCAACUCACAUACUUAUACAAAUACAUCUAAUAGUCUAACAGUCCAUAAGCUAAGCAAUCCCAAUUAUACAGUAAUCCAUUAUCCACAUAAUGCCAAAUAAUUGCUAAUAUCAACUAUAUCUUUUCAACAACAUCAAAAUCAAUCUCAAUGAGCUCAAAUCUUAUGAAACUUUUCUAUUUCCACUCUCAUUCACAAGUACAUCAAAGUGAGUUCAGAAUGGGUACCUGAAGAAUGAAUCAACAGAAAAGGAAGAGAUCAGCAGCAGUAACAAUUUCCAGCAUUAGUUCAUGAGCAAGAUUAAACCCAUCAACGAUCUAUAAAUGAGUAUAAUAGCCCAGAAUGUGUUCAACUGUUCAGGAUAAAUUGAAAACUAGGCAGAAUCCAACAGGUCACACCAAAAUUGCACCAAAUAGAGAAAAAUGAACCCAACACUAACUCGACCAAUAAUUCAAAACCAAACUAGUCCCAAAAUUGACUUGUAUGGACUCCAAAUCCACUCGAAAUCAAGCCAUGGAUAAAUCUGAACCUCGACUACCAAUAUUUGAGCUAGAUAUGCGAAUCACUUUGACUGAAAUCAUAAAUUAACUAGAAAAAACCUGGAUGGAGCAGUACUUUUUUUUUGAAUUUUUUACUAUGUUCUUUUUGGAUGAUUCUCAAUUCCUUUUUUUGAAACUUCAGUAGGCUCCCCCUUCUUCGACGCUAAGCGCGCUGCAUCUCCUGUCCAACCAAGUGAAGAAUGUUUUCGAGUAGAAUCUAAAAUUUAAAGAGAAUUUUGAACUUCCAUUUGAUUCGAAACUCAAAUUCUAGCUGGAUUUCCAUAGAGGAAUUUUUUUUGAUGGAGAUUUUUAGGUUGCCCAACUUGUUGAUUAAGGCACUAAAAUGUGCCUUAUAAAGGCAAAAAUAAGGGGCAACCCUCAGAUUUUUAGAUUUGCAUUACACCCUUUCCUAAUUUUCAUUUUCUCUUAAGUAUCCCUAGCAAAGUUGCUUGUUUCCCAAGUAUACCUCUAAACGUUAUAGAAUUCUAAAGUGAACCCCAUCUAGAAUGUCCUAGAGGACUCCAUUCAGAUUUUAAAAGAUUUCAUACCCUUGUAAUACCCCUUUUGUUCAACUAAAAUUACUAACUAUGACCAAAGUUUCCUAAAAUUCUGAUUUACCAAUUAUAGAAGAACAAUCAUAACACUUCAUCAAACGACCAUCACAAAUUCAAUAUGAAAUCAGGUUGUGUCAUCUUAAUCAAGUAAAACACAAUUAAACUAAUUAGAGAAAUAUUCUUGACAACUAAACCAAAAUGAAACAAUUCACUAACUCGAACGAGAAUUGAACCUAACAACAUCAAUCCUCUUAGAGAAGCAGAAUGCCCAAAAUUAAACUAAACUAAACGCUAAACAAGAAAACUAAUGACGAACUAACAAUUAACAGGUCUCGGGCAACAAUCCAAAUAGUAAAAUUUUUAGCUAUUAACUCAAAAUAGAUAACAUUGAAUCCAAUACAUUAAUGACACACAGAACACAUGGGGAAGAAAACAAUAUGAAUUAACAGAGAAAAACCAAAAGAAAAAAACUUUAAGAGACUCACUGGCGACUUUCUGGGUUCAACUUCACUGCCUUCCAUGAAGUUUGAGGCUGACGACAUCGAAUUCAUUGCGAGGGAAGCAAAUGGACUCUGGUACAUUCGCUUGAAAUCAAUGGGACGAAUUAGGGGGUUUUUGACCGAUUUGGAUUCGAAAUUCAAGGGGCUUGGUCAUGUUUUGAAGGAGUUUAGUUUUAGAUUGGUGAGGAGGAGAUGGAGGAGGUUCAGUGGUGUGAGUUUGGACUAGUUUGGGCGGCAUCACCGCCGUGGACGGCGGAGACGGUGGCAACUCUUUCAAUUAAUCGAUGCCCUCCAGUGUACUUUGAAACACGGCAGUGGCAGAUUCAUGACUGGGGUGUUGAGGCGAUUUCAGGGUGUAACUUUGAGAGCCACCAGAGAUGGUGACGUUUUCUCCGAUGGCGGCGGGUGGCGGAGACGCUAAGGAGGAUACGAGGAAGAUAACCAAUGUUUUUUAUGUUUAAUGAAC
rnacentral:lncRNA from 1 species